UCCGAGUUGACCCCGGCAGUCUCCUAUGAGUUCCCGCCAUAACGCGCUGGCAACAUAGAACGAGGGUUGCGCUCGUUGCGGGACUUAACCCAACAUCUCACGACACGAGCUGACGACAGCCUUGCAGCACCUGUUCUCAGACCCAUUGCUGGGAGGAAUCCAUCUCUGGAAGCCGCCCUGAGAAUGUCAAGAGCUGGUAAGGUUCUUCGCGUUGCGUCGAAUUAAACCACAUGCUCCACCGCUUGUGCGGGCCCCCGUCAAUUCCUUUGAGUUUUAACCUUGCGGCCGUACUCCCCAGGCGGGAUGCUUAAUGCGUUAGCUGCGCCACCAACAAGCAUGCUUGCUGACGGCUAGCAUCCAUCGUUUAAGGCGUGGACUAC
rnacentral:misc_RNA from 1 species